rnacentral:rRNA from 1 species
CAGUAGCGCGGUAAUACGAACCGUGCGAACGUUAUUCGGAAUCACUGGGCUUAAAGCGCGUGUAGGCGGGAGGGCACGUCCGUCGCUGAAAUCCCCCGGCUCAACCGGGGAACGGGCGCGGAUACGACUCUUCUGGAGGAACGUAGGGGGACCUGGAACUUCCGGUGGAGCGGUGAAAUGCGUUGAGAUCGGAAAGAACACCAACGGCGAAAGCACUCUGCUGGGCCGACACUGACACUGAGAGACGAAAGCUAGGGGAGCAAAUGGGAUUAGAUACCCGAGUAGUCCCUGUCUCUUAUAC